UGGUGCCAACACAAUAAUUAAAUGAAAUCUAUGGAAUGUUCUAGCAAAAGGUAUAUUACAUAUAUUUUUUGGUAGUGCAAGAGCUUAUUCUUCUUUACACGACCCAAGUGUACUCUCUUGGGUUUAGAACUCAUUCUAUCAUUGAGAUAUUUUAAAAAAGCCACAUUUACCAUUUUUUUUCUUAACAAGGACCUACUUUUCCACUCUUGUGAAGUAGGACCUACAUUUUUUAUUAAUGCACCUAUAGGUCCGUUUCGAAGUACUUUUUGGGCAAUCAUCAUCAUAUUCACAAUCAUGUAGAGCUGCAUGAAGAAAAAAACAAGAUAAAAUAAUGUUAUUAAAAUGAGAUAAAGGAUUCCAAACUACAAAUAAAUAAUACAAUUUGAAAAGGAUGAAAAAUAAUAUAUCACCAUCAACAUUCUUUGUUAUAAGAAAUAGGAAAAUAAAUAAAAUCAUAGUAUACACAAACUUAAGAGAUUUAGG
rnacentral:lncRNA from 1 species